CCCGGUCUCUGGGAUAACAGUUGGAAACGACUGCUAAUACCGGAUGACGUCGGAAUCUCGCAUGGGAUACUGACGAAAGGGUUACUGGAUCGGGAGAGCCUCGCGGCCUAUCAGCUUGUUGGUGAGGUAACGGCUCACCAAGGCAUCGACGGGUAGCUGGUCUGAGAGGAUGAUCAGCCACACUGGGACUGAGACACGGCCCAGACUCCUACGGGAGGCAGCAGUGGGGAAUCUUGCGCAAUGGGCGAAAGCCUGACGCAGCAACGCCGCGUGCGGGAAGAAGGCCCUCGGGUUGUAAACCGCUUUCAGAAGGAACGAAAAUGACGGUACUUUCAGAAGAAGGUGCGGCCAACUACGUG
rnacentral:rRNA from 1 species